AUUGAACGCUGGCGGCAGGCUUAACACAUGCAAGUCGAGCGGAGACGCGGUGCUUGCACCUUAUCUGAGCGGCGGACGGGUGAGUAAUGCAUCGGAAUCUGCCCAUUAGUGGGGGACAACAUUCCGAAAGGAAUGCUAAUACCGCAUACGCUGUACGCGGGAAAGCAGGGGAUCUUCGGACCUCGCGCUAUCGGAUGAGCCUAAGUCGGAUUAGCUAGUUGGUGGGGUAAAGGCCUACCAAGGCGACGAUCUGUAGCGGGUCUGAGAGGAUGAUCCGCCACACUGGGACUGGGACACGGCCCAGACUCCUACGGGAGGCAGCAGUGGGGAAUAUUGGACAAUGGGCGGAAGCCUGAUCCAGCCAUGCCGGGUGUGUGGAGAAGGCCUUUUGGUUGUAAAGCACUUUAAGCGAGGAGGAAGCUACUUAGAUUAAUACUCUAGGAUAGUGGACGUUACUCGCAGAAUAAGCACCGGCUAACUCUGUGCCAGCCGCCGCAGUAAAAC
rnacentral:rRNA from 1 species